rnacentral:tRNA from 1 species
UCCCUGGUGGUCCAGUGGUUAGGACUUGGCGCUUUCACUGCCAUGGCCAGGGUUCGAUUCCCGGUCAGGGAA